rnacentral:rRNA from 1 species
CACGAAGUUAGCCGGGGCUUAUUCUUACGGUACCGUCAUUAUCUUCCCGUACAAAAGGGCUUUACAACCCCAGGGCCUUCAUCACUCACGCGGCAUGGCUGGAUCAGGCUUGCGCCCAUUGUCCGAUAUUCCCCACUGCUGCCUCCCGUAGGAGUUUGGGCCGUGUCUCAGUCCCAAUGUGGCUGAUCAUCCUCUCAGACCAGCUACUGAUCGUCGCCUUGGUAGGCCAUUACCCUACCAACUAGCUAAUCAGACGCGGGCCGAUCUUUUGGCGAUAAAUCUUUCCCGUAAGGGCUUAUCCGGUAUUAGCACAAGUUUCCCUGUGUUGUUCCGAACCAAAGGUACGUUCCCACGUGUUACUCACCCGUCUGCCACUGAUACCGAAGUGCCGUUCGACUUGCAUGUGUUAAGCCUGCCGCCAGCGUUCGCUCUGAGCCAGGAUCAAACUCU